GCCGGGUGUGGUGGCGGGCGCCUGUAGUCCCAGCUACUCGGGAGGCUGAGGCAGGAGAAUCGCUUGAACCCAGGAGGCAGGGUUUGCAGUGAGCCAAGAUCUUGCCACUGCACUCCAGCCUGGGCGACAGAGCGUGACUCUGUCUCAA
rnacentral:SRP_RNA from 1 species